CCUCACCCCCAUAGAUAUCCAUAAUAAAGGCUAGAUGUCUUACGGCGGAGUCUCAAACGUCAUCACCGGCGGCCAUCUUGCCUCAGGCAAGCUUUCUGGCGUGCUCUGUGGUACCUAAUGUAAGGAUUUGUUGAGCGACGGGCUCUGAAGAAGCUGUCCUGUGAUGUCUGCCGUGCCAGCUUGGUAACAGAUGCUGCAUCUGCCAUCAAGAACCAGAGCUACCACCUGCUGAAGUUAAAAA